rnacentral:rRNA from 1 species
UAACACGUGGGUAACCUGCCCAUAAGACUGGGAUAACUCCGGGAAACCGGGGCUAAUACCGGAUAAYAUUUUGAACYGCAUGGUUCGAAAUUGAAAGGCGGCUUCGGCUGUCACUUAUGGAUGGACCCGCGUCGCAUUAGCUAGUUGGUGAGGUAACGGCUCACCAAGGCAACGAUGCGUAGCCGACCUGAGAGGGUGAUCGGCCACACUGGGACUGAGACACGGCCCAGACUCCUACGGGAGGCAGCAGUAGGGAAUCUUCCGCAAUGGACGAAAGUCUGACGGAGCAACGCCGCGUGAGUGAUGAAGGCUUUCGGGU